rnacentral:rRNA from 1 species
AACGAACGCUGGCGGCAGGCCUAACACAUGCAAGUCGAACGCCCCGCAAGGGGAGUGGCGCACGGGUGAGUAACGCGUGGGAAUAUGCCCUUCGGUUCGGAAUAACUCAGGGAAACUUGGGCUAAUACCGGAUACGGACUACGGUCGAAAGAUUUAUCGCCGAGGGAGUAGCCCGCGUAGGAUUAGCUAGUUGGUGAGGUAAUGGCUCACCAAGGCGACGAUCCUUAGCUGGUCUGAGAGGAUGAUCAGCCACACUGGGACUGAGACACGGCCCAGACUCCUACGGGAGGCAGCAGUGGGGAAUAUUGGACAAUGGGGGCAACCCUGAUCCAGCCAUGCCGCGUGAGUGAUGAAGGCCUUAGGGUUGUAAAGCUCUUUCGUCGGGGAAGAUAAUGACGGUACCCGAAGAAGAAGCCUCGGCUAACUCCGUGCCAGCAGCCGCCGUAA